CUGGUUGAUCCUGCCAGUAGUCAUAUGCUUGUCUUAAAGAUUAAGCCAUGCAUGUCUAAGUAUAAGCUUUUAUACGGCGAAACUGCGAAUGGCUCAUUAAAACAGUUAUAGUUUAUUUGAUGGUCUUUACUACAUGGAUAACCGUGGUAAUUCUAUGGCUAAUACAUGCGCACAUACCUCUUCCCUCGUGGAAGGGUAGUGUUUAUUAGAUACAGAACCAACCCACCUUCGGGUGGUCCUCAGGUGAUUCAUAGUAACCGAACGGAUCGCAUUAUGACCUUCGGGUCGGCGAUGGAUCAUUCAAGUUUCUGACCUAUCAGCUUUCGACGGUACUGUAUUGGACUACCGUGGCAGUGACGGGUAACGGGGAAUUAGGGUUCGAUUCCGGAGAGGGAGCCUGAGAAACGGCUACCACAUCUAAGGAAGGCAGCAGGCGCGCAAAUUACCCAAUCCUGACUCAGGGAGGUAGUGACAAGAAAUAACAACGCUGGAAAUUCUAUUUCUAGUGAUUGGAAUGAUGGGAAUCCAAACCCCUUUCAGAGUAACAAUUGGAGGGCAAGUCUGGUGCCAGCAGCCGCGGUAAUUCCAGCUCCAAUAGCGUAUAUUAAAGUUGUUGCAGUUAAAAAGCUCGUAGUUGGAUAUCUGCUGGAAGCAGCCAGUCCGCCCUUUGUGGGUGUGCACUUGGUGAAUUCUGGCAUCCUCCUGAUUGGUGUCAUCAUCACUUCAUUGUGUUGGUGGCAGCUGUCAGGACCGUUACUUUGAGAAAAUUAGAGUGUUUCAAGCAGGCUUGUUGCCUUGAAUACUGCAGCAUGGAAUAACAAGAUAGGAUUUCGGUUCUAUUUUGUUGGUUUCUAGGACUGAAAUAAUGAUUAAUAGGGACAGUUGGGGGCAUUCGUAUUUAACUGUCAGAGGUGAAAUUCUUAGAUUUGUUAAAGACGAACUACUGCGAAAGCAUUUGCC
rnacentral:rRNA from 1 species